rnacentral:rRNA from 1 species
UACGUAGGGAGCAAGCGUUGUCCGGAAUCAUUGGGCGUAAAGCGCGCGUAGGCGGCCCUGUAAGUCCGUUGUGAAAGUCAAAGGCUCAACCUUUGAAAGCCGAUGGAUACUGCAGGGCUAGAGUCCGGAAGAGGCGAGUGGAAUUCCUGGUGUAGCGGUGGAAUGCGCAGAUAUCAGGAGGAACAUCCGUGGCGAAGGCGGCUCUCUGGGACGGUACUGACGCUGAGACGCGAAAGCGUGGGGAGCGAACAGG